rnacentral:rRNA from 1 species
UGAGACGGAGGGGGCAAGCGUUGUUCGGAAUUACUGGGUGUAGAGAGGGCUCAGGCGGAUUUGUAAGUCAGUGGUGUAAUCCUUAAGCUUAACUUAAGAACUGCUUCUGAUACUGCAAGUCUUGAGCAUAGAAGAGGAGAACGGAACUCCCAGUGUAGCGGUGAAAUGUGUAAAUAUUGGGGGGAACACUCAUGGCGAAGGCAGUUCUCUGGGCUAUUGCUGACGCUGUUGCCCGAAAGCCAGGGGAGCGAACAGGAUUAGAUACCCUGGUAGUCCUGGCUGUAAACGAUGAUCACUAGGUAUUGCCGACUUGUCGGCAGUGCCGCAGCUAACGCGUUAAGUGAUCCACCUGGGGAGUACGGUCGCAAGGCUG